rnacentral:rRNA from 1 species
GAACUGUAGAGUUUGAUCCUGGCUCAGAUUGAACGCUGGCGGCAUGCCUUACACAUGCAAGUCGAACGGUAACAGGUCUUCGGACGCUGACGAGUGGCGAACGGGUGAGUAAUACAUCGGAACGUGCCCAGUCGUGGGGGAUAACUACUCGAAAGAGUAGCUAAUACCGCAUACGAUCUGAGGAUGAAAGCGGGGGACCUUCGGGCCUCGCGCGAUUGGAGCGGCCGAUGGCAGAUUAGGUAGUUGGUGGGAUAAAAGCUUACCAAGCCGACGAUCUGUAGCUGGUCUGAGAGGACGACCAGCCACACUGGGACUGAGACACGGCCCAGACUCCUACGGGAGGCAGCAGUGGGGAAUUUUGGACAAUGGGCGAAAGCCUGAUCCAGCAAUGCCGCGUGCAGGAUGAAGGCCUUCGGGUUGUAAACUGCUUUUGUACGGAACGAAAAAGCUCCUUCUAAUACAGGGGGCCCAUGACGGUAC